rnacentral:rRNA from 1 species
AUUGAACGCUGGCGGCAUGCUUUACACAUGCAAGUCGAACGGUAACAGGCCGCAAGGUGCUGACGAGUGGCGAACGGGUGAGUAAUGCAUCGGAACGUGCCCAGUCGUGGGGGAUAACGCAGCGAAAGCUGCGCUAAUACCGCAUACGAUCUCUGGAUGAAAGCGGGGGACCGAAAGGCCUCGCGCGAUUGGAGCGGCCGAUGUCAGAUUAGGUAGUUGGUGGGGUAAAGGCCCACCAAGCCAACGAUCUGUAGCUGGUCUGAGAGGACGAACAGCCACACUGGGACUGAGACACGGCCCAGACUCCUACGGGAGGCAGCAGUGGGGAAUGUUGGACAAUGGGCGCAAGCCUGAUCCAGCAAUGCCGCGUGCAGGAAGAAGGCCUUCGGGUUGUAAACUGCUUUUGUACGGAACGAAACGGUCCGGGUUAAUACCCUGGGCUAAUGACGGUACCGUAAGAAUAAGCACCGGCUAACUACGUGCCAGCCGCCGCCGUAAGAC